rnacentral:rRNA from 1 species
AACGAACGCUGGCGGCAUGCCUAACACAUGCAAGUCGAACGAGAACGUCGGGUCUAGUGGCGCACGGGUGCGUAACGCGAGGGAACCUUCCCUUAGGGUCGGAAUAACUCCCAGAAAGGGGUGAUAAUACGGGAUAAUGUCUAAGGCCCAAAGAUGUAUCGACUCUGUAUGGGCCUGCGUUGGAUUAGCUAGUUGGUAGGGUAAAAGCCUACCAAGGCGACGAUCCAUAGCUGGUCUGAGAGGAUGACCCGCCACACUGGGACUGACACACGGCCCAGACGCCUACGGGUGGCAGCAGGGGUGAAUAUUGGACGAUGCGCGAGAGCCUGAUCCAGCAAUGUCGCGUGAGUGAUGAAGUCCUUAGGGUUGUAAAGCUCUGUUAACCGGGAUGAUAAUGACAGUACCGGGAGAAUAAGCGCCGGCUAACUCCGUG